UCUUUCUUGGAAAAAUUGGGAACCCCCACGAGCAAUCCCAAUCAUAUUGAGCCGAACUGUGAGCCUAGAGAGAGAGAGAGAGAGAGAGAGAGAGAGGCGAAUGCCUCUGCGAGACUGCUGCUUUAUCUGAUCCAGCAGUACUGAAUCUCUCUCGGAUUCUUUCGGUCAGUACGGGAAAAAUCUGAGAUGGGUUUGAUCGAAUUUGAACUCGCGAAAUCAAUCAACUGGGGGUACGAAUCCUUCCCUGCGUAUGAAGAUUUCGCAGUUCUUCCUCUCUUCGUUGUCUUCUUCCCAUCUGUUCGGUUUCUUCUCGACAGAUUUGUGUUUGAGGUACUGCGUUUCUGGUUCUGAUUUUAGUUGUAGUGGCUGUUUUGAUUUUAUUUGGAUAUGAAGAUUCCGCAUUUCUUCCUUUUUUUCUUUGUUUUUUGCUGUUUUCUUCCCUUUUGUUCCGUUUCUUCUCGACAGAUUUGUGUUUGAGGUAUUGGCAAGAAGAUUGAUUUUUAGAAAAGAGCAUCAGAUGUUAGAUGGAGAGACAAAUGAAAGGAGAAAGAAGCUGCGGAAAUUCAAGGAAUCUGCAUGGAAAUGUGUCUAUUUUCUUUCGGCAGAGCUUCUAGCACUCUCUGUGACCUAUGACGAGCCAUGGUUCACUAAAACAAGAUAUUUUUGGGUAGGACCUGGUGAACAGUUGUGGCCUGACCAAAAAAUAAAGUUGAAAUUGAAAGGGCUGUAUAUGUAUGCUGCUGGAUUCUACACGUACUCCAUUUUUGCUUUGAUUUUCUGGGAAACAAGGCGUUCCGAUUUUGGUGUGUCAAUGGGUCACCAUUUUGCAACCGUCAUUCUCAUUGCACUGUCUUACAUAUUCAGGUUUGCUCGUGUUGGUUCGAUUGUUUUAGCUCUUCAUGAUGCCAGUGAUGUGUUUCUGGAAGUUGGGAAGAUGUCAAAAUACAGUGGUGCAGAGGGGAUUGCCAGCUUCUCAUUUAUUCUUUUUGUUUUGUCUUGGAUCCUACUUCGACUUAUUUACUUCCCAUUCUGGAUUAUUUGGAGUACAAGCUAUGAAGCUAUCCUUACCUUGGACAAGGAGAAACACCCGGUGGAUGGACCAAUAUAUUAUUAUGUAUUCAAUAGUCUUCUAAUCUGCUUACUUGUUUUACAUAUUUAUUGGUGGAUGCUGAUAUUUCGGAUGCUUGUUAAACAAAUCCAAGCAAGAGGCAAGCUUAGUGAGGACGUUCGUUCUGAUUCUGAAGGUGAAGACGAGCAUGAAGACUGAUCUGGAUACAAGAUUUGCCACAAGCCACACAACUCAUGGUGAAGGUGUGCUGAAAAUUAUAAAAACUGGGAGCUGCUAAGAUUUGCACAAUCUCAUGUGCUUGCUCAUGUUGAAGUGAUUGCACGCAAUCAGAAAGCUUCCCUGCAAAUGGGAGGAAUUUGUGUAUUUAUUUGAGAUGAGGUGCGGAAGCAUGUUCAAAAGUUGCAAUUGGCUGAUGUAACAGAUCAACAUAGGUUCCAUUCUACAUGCUCGAGGAUGAGUUGCAAGGAAAUUUAUGAGCUAGAACUCUGAAACUUCUUGCAAUCUUGAGCCUGCUGCUGGUAGUGAUAGUUGUAAAUUAAUUCAUUUGAUUUUUUCCCCACCCUAGAAGCCUUCGGUGGAACUUGUAAUUUAAAUUUAACCCUUUCAAUUUUACAUGAAGCAUCCAACCAUGAUAAGAUUUUGGUUCAGAAGUUUUUCAGUUGCUUAAUAAUUACAAGGCUAAGCCACGUUUGAAGUUA